rnacentral:rRNA from 1 species
CUACUAUGGAGAGUUUGAUCCUGGCUCAGGACGAACGCUGGCGGCGUGCCUAAUACAUGCAAGUCGAGCGGAGUAUUUCCUUCGGGGAAUGCUUAGCGGCGGACGGGUGAGUAACACGUAGGUAACCUGCCUAUCAGAUCGGGAUAACUAUCGGAAACGAUAGCUAAGACCGGAUAACUGGUUUUCUCGCAUGAGAGAAUUAUGAAACACGGAGUAAUCUGUGGCUGAUAGAUGGGCCUGCGGCGCAUUAGCUAGUUGGUGGGGUAACGGCUCACCAA